UUAUUUUACAAAUGUGCAAACGAGGAGCUUUCUCUCCGGUGGAUAAGCAAUGCAGGGUAGAACCCAAAGACACCUUGCACAAGCUGUGUAUUGCUUAAACCGUAGCGUCCAUUAGAGCAGCCCAAUCUGCUUAAUCGUUCAUUUCUUCACGUGGCACAGAGAUACAGCCCAAAAGACUAGUGCUUGACUGCUAAUAAGAAAGAGAAGAUGACUCACUGCUACUAAAGCUCCUCCAGCUCAGCCACCCAGGCCUCCAAAGCUCGUAUGCAGACUCUGAGGGCCAGGAGCUCCUUGCACCGAAUGCACACAUACGCCACCUGCCCACAGAGAAGAGUGACAACUGAGUCCUUUUAUUCCGGUACCCUCUAACAAUCAACAGGAUAUUACUCCAAGUAGUGACAUUAAGGCCCUGGUUCUGCAAGAUGCUGAGCACUCUGGCUCCAGUCCAGCAAAGCACAUAAGUAUGUGCUUAACUU